AUGUUCUCUCUGGGGCCUUUAGAAAGUAAGUUUGUGUUUAAUUCUGUUCAAUGCAUGCUAUAUGUGAGAGGCACUUCGAUUGACAUUCAGUUCUUUUUCAGGAAUGCGUAUGGUUAUGUGUACUGUAGCCCAGCUGUUCUACCACAUGGAUUCUUUGUGAUGUUGAGCUUAAACCUGACCUUAAAUGUGGCAUGGCUGUUUUUCUGGGAUAGAAGUUUGAUGAUUCCUUCAGUGAUCUUUCUCUUCUUCAUUGCCUUAACCAAUUAUGGGGUCAUAGCCUUUUCCUGUUUUGGUUUAAAUGCUUAUGGAGCAUGGCUGUACAAGAACCACAAAAUUGAUCUGUAUCUCAUCCGCAUAUUGGUUCAGAAUGGUAUUUCCAUAUACGCAACAUGGACUACUAUUGCAACUCUGGUGAACCUGAAUAUUGUACUGACCACUGAGGCAAAUAUGUCUCAAAAUGAUGCUGCAACUACAAGUCUAUCUCUUCUGGUAGUGGUAAUAGCUACAUGGUUUGUCCUUGAAAAUUGGUUAUUGGAGAAGCAUGUCCGUUACAUCCUGUCCAUUUACCCUGUUGUGAUCUGGGCACUGACUGGGGUUUUCACAAAAAACUAUGAUGCCGGUGCUCCAUCUCGGAAUAACAUAUUUAAUGCUGUUCUUAUUGGGGUGGGCUGCUGUCUGUUUGUAACUCGAAUAGGCCUGGUUAUUUGGAGACACCGCAAACAUCCCCUUUACAAAAAUGCAGAUGAAGAAGACAUGUCCCCGAUGGAGAUUGCCAAAAAACAAAAAAAGAUAUUGAAGUGAAAAUCUUAACUGUAGUGUUAUUGUUUUUGUAAAGUGCUUUAUAGAUUUGUGGCCCACCGGCUUCUUAUACAUGGCAGUGAUUUGCAUAGUGAUUCAACAGGUGCAGUCUUUUCCUUUUACUAGAAACCAAUAUUAUAUUUAUUUAUCAUUUUUUUGUAAUAAUUUAACUCUUUGUAAUGCAUGUCAUAAUGUUAUGCUUAAUGGUUUAUCUUAUAAUACAUGCCUGUAAGUGUAAGAUGUGAAUAAUGAACUGUGAACUACAUCACAAUUUUAUAAAUAGAAUUCAUAUAAAAUAUAUGCUGUGUUUUGUUGUUGUUUUACUAACAAUAAUAAAACAAAUUAUAAUUUAUAUACAAUUUAUAUUUUCCAUACACAAUACUCAACAAAACAAACAAUGCUUCAGAGUGUUCCAGUGUUGCCAUAGAAAUAAGCCCUUCAUGAGAUUACUGGUUUUGGUCUUUGGUUUAAAGAGCCUCCAUUUCAUGACACUACACAUAAGAUUACAUCUCAAUAUCAAUAGUGUUAAAUAUUUUUUAGAUCAGUUUUAGAUCAUGUUUAGCCCUAAUUAAUGGAACUAUAGUCUGCACAGGUAUUAAAAUUAUAACUGGACCUUGGCUGCCAGUGCUUUAACUUGCAAAUAGGGGAUACAUACAGGCUUUGCUCAUUCUCACUUAUGAACAGUAUAUAAUGCAGCAGCACAGGCUGCACUAGCACUGACUAAAUUUAAACAACAGAACAUUGAAUCUGUCAAUCCAAAUGAGAGACUUCAAGGUCAUUUUGCUUUCUGAUUUGAUAAUCGUCUUGAGUUAUAAAAUUGUGUAAUAAACUCCAAAUUAUAACAUAGGCCUAAAUAAAUGGAACAUAAUAUCUAAUAUUUUUGUAAUUAUUAAGAAUAAAUGAGCGUUACAAUUGUUGUCAAUAAGAGCUCUGUUUGAACAUGUGUGCCUCUUAUGGGGACGCGGCCAGGUAAUGUUUAAUUACCUAGCUAGAAUGGAAUUAAUAAUAAAAAUAGUUCUUAUUUUUCCUAAUGAAUUAAUCUAGUGAUUAAUCUUUUGAUUAAUCAGUUAGUUGUUUAGAGCACAGAAGGCCCAUAAAUAUAAUUUUGUUUUGUAAAUUGUACCCAGAUAAAGUUUUAGGGCAUCCUGGUGGAACAUAUUUACAAAUGAAACAAAAAAACAAAAACAAAAAACACUUAUUUAACAUACUUCCUGUGUCAGGUAAUCCCUGAUCUGUUUCAGCCAUAAAGCCUCUUCUCUAUGCUCAUCUUUUAUGUUUUAUUGGACCCACCUUCUCUUACAUAUUUUGAUAUUAUUAAACCUAAAUGUUGUUAUGUCUUACAGAAUCAAACAUCUGCAUUUUAUGAUCUCAUCACGUGGACUGUGGUAUUAUAUAUGUAAGAUAAAGGUUCACGUAAGGCUUUCAAGGACCAUAAAACCUUUCUGUUGCACAACAAGAAUUUCUAUAAAACUGUGUGACUCCAAUCUUCUCCACACUAGUCCCUGAACAUCCCCUGAAGAGCUGACUUGCACAAGGAGAGGCGUAGUAAGUCAUGAUGGGAGAGCAUAAUGGUGGGCGUCUUGCUGCAGUAUUGGUGUCAGUUGCUGGAUAUUUAGUCAGUUUGGUGUUCAAUGGACUCUCUGUGGUGGGCGUUGGUCCUUAUACAACAACAACAGCCAAUGUCUCAGCAGUGUUUGACACCCAGAUUACGCCCUCCGGAUGGACCUUUAACAUAUGGACCCUCAUCUAUAUUUGGCUUACUGCACUUGUUAUCUACAUUGUCAUUGGACUCUGCAGAAAAAAUGGUUAUGGCUAUGUUUACUGCAGCCCCUCGGUAUUGCCUUAUGGUUUCUUUGUUAGCUGGUGCCUCAAUCUGGGUUUCAACAUUGGAUGGCUGAUAGUCUGGGACCAAGGAAAUAUGAUUGUUGCAUUGGUGUUCCUUAUCCUGGUUAUAAUCACAAACUAUUCAAUGAUAUUUUUUAUUUGCCACGGCCUUCAUCUUUAUGGACCCUGGCUGAUGAAAUACCACAAGGAAGAUCUGUGGUGUUACAGGAUAAUAGUUCAAAAUGGUGUCAUGAUUUACACCACAUGGACAACAAUUGCAACUCUCAUCAACCUGGCUAUUGUUCUAACUUAUGAAGCUGGUAUGAAUCCACUAGAUGCUGGCACCAUAUCUUAUUCAAUUCUGUCUGUGGUUCUGCUUGCAUGGUUUGUUCUAGAGAACACUGUGCUUGACAAACAUGUACGAUACGUCCUCAUUGUGUAUCCAGUAGUCAUUUGGGCACUCUCAGGAAAUCUAGACAAAAACUAUGACCCAGAGUCACCAAAUCGCAAUGGAAUUUUUAUUGUGGUUCUGUUGGCCUUAGCCUGUCUGAUCUUUGUCACACGUAUUGGUUUGGUGAUUUGGAGGCACAAAAAGCGGCCCCUCUAUAGAGACGCUAACCUAGAAGCAAUGGAACCAAUGGACAUAGCUCAGAAGAAUAAGAAAAUAUUUCUUUAAAUACCUCAAACACACAGCUGAUUGAUUGCACUGGAGAU